GACGAACGCUGGCGGCGUGCUUAACACAUGCAAGUCGAACGAAGUGGCGAACGGGUGAGUAACGCGUAAUCAACCUGCCCUUCAGAGGGGGACAACAGUUGGAAACGACUGCUAAUACCGCAUACUGAAGGAGGGGAGUGCGUAUGAGUAGCUAGUUGGAGGGGGAACGGCCCACCAAGGCGAUGAUCAGUAGCCGGUCUGAUGGUAUGAACGGCCAAAUGGGGACUGGGACACCGCCCAGACUCCUACGGGAGGCAGCAGUGGGGAAUCUUCCGCAAUUGACGAAAGUCUGACGGAGCAACGCCGCGUGAGCGAUGACGGCCUUCGGGUUGUAAAGCUCUGUUAAUCGGGACGCGGUACCGGAAUAGAAAGCCACGGCUAACUCCGUGCCAGCAGCCGCGGUAAUUC
rnacentral:rRNA from 1 species